UGCCGUCGCUGCAAAUGAUGAAUCGGAGCGAUUGGUCAUAUUGGGUUAAUUGAAUGACACUAGAAGACAUAUACAUCAAAAUAUUGGGUAAACUGACUACAUCUCCAUUUAUCAUACUGGAUCAUCUAUAGCAUCACCAGAUGUUCUAAUGGCAUCACCAUAUUUUUCAGAGAUGCGGCAAUUGGGCUCUCUAUAUAUCUCUGAGGUGUAGCAUGAUUUGAGUAGUUGGGAUCGUUCAUCAUCAUCGAUGCCAUCUUUUACUGAGCAGAUGGACACUACUCUAUUAUCGAGCCUAUUUGAUUCAUCUUUGG
rnacentral:lncRNA from 1 species